rnacentral:lncRNA from 1 species
CAAAGAAGAGUCAAGCUCGGGAUUUGUUUGAUGAAGUACCAAUGAAAUAAUGCAGAGCACAAUCUCAGGUGCACUUGUUCUAAAACCUCAGUUUUAUAUUUAUCCUUUAAAUCCACUACCUGACUUCAAAAAUCUGAUGGAUGGGGUUUUGACUUAUUAAGUCGUUAAUAGAAAAUAGUUAAGAUUACAUAUUAUAGAAUAUAUAGCAUAGUCAUAUAUUAGCACACAACAUGCUUGACCGAAGGAUUGAUGGAACUUGGGUUAGCAUGAGAUCGUAUUUCCUUGAUA